CGGCUGAAUGGUGGUGGCACUUGUAUGGCAUCUCCGGGUUUCGACUGGGGUUUGGGUUUGGUUUGCUUCGCUGGUCAGCGCCCGUACAAAAGUGUGCCCGUGUUUAGUGGGGAAUCUCAACAAGGUAACGGUAAAGGUAAUGGUGGUAAUGGUGGCUUAGCGCGUAUCAAGUGACAGAUUGUCUGCGGCAAGGAGGCCGGCGAUCAGUCGAUUCGCUCGCCGCCUUGGGAAACCAUAAUUUCCGACAGCCAUUCACAACUGUCAGUUCCCGAUGGUGUUCAAAUGUGGAAAUAAUGAUUGAUAUGUCCGGAAAGUAUCAAACGAUUUUGGAUUUCCGUUUAAUUUGAAUGUGCUUGGAAUGUAAAAGAUAAUUGCUAAGGUACAAGCCGCUGUCUGUAUGUUUAAAGUAAUGCAAGGGAUAAUGGGAGCUCUAAUCUAACCAAUUACAUAUGCAAUCCAUUUAGCCAAACGUCUUUUAUUUUGGCUGGCUGUCAAAGUUGAUUUCAAUCAAUAUUCAUGAAAUAACGUUGUAAUUAAAUGGCCACAUACAUAUGCUCCUGUCAGAACCUCUCUUUGACUCCGAGUCGAUACCCCAGGCCACGGAAGAGGAAAUCAGCAAUUUAAUAGCGGCAAUGGGUAACCACAAGGCUCCAGGCGAUGAUGCCAUCAAUGCCAUUGCUUUAAAG